rnacentral:rRNA from 1 species
ACUCAAAUGAAUUGACGGGGACCCACACAAGCGGUGGAGCAUGGGGUUUAAUUCGAUAGUAAGCGAAGAACCUCACCUAGGCUUGACAUCUCGGGAACCCUCCAGAAACGGAGGGGUGCCGCAAGGAGCCCGAAGACAGGCGCUGCACGGUUGUCGUCAGCUCGUGCCUUGAGGUGUACUGUUAAGUCAGCGAACGAGCGCAACCCUCAUCCUGUGUUGUUUUUUCACGGGAGACUGCCGCCUCCAAGGCGGAGGAAGGUGGGGAUGACGUCAAAUCAGCGUGGCCCUUAUGCCUAGGGCGACACCCGUGCUACAAUGGUCGGUACAGAGGGUAGCCAACCCGCGAGGGGGAGCCAAUCUCACAAAGCCGAUCUCAGUUCGGAUUGAAGUCUGCAACUCGACUCCAUGAAGUUGGAAUCGCUAGUAACCGUGAAUCAGCCACGUCACGGUGAAUAUGUUCCUGGGUCUUGUACACACCGCCCGU